AGCUUCUGACAAGAUGACUCACAGACUUGGCUGCACUCCGAAUGAGGUAGAGUCUUACUCAUCCUUCGCUGAAUGACAAUCUCGUCUACUAUGAGUGUUCGUCAAACUGAUUAUCUAUACCUGCAGGCAUGAAUGCAGCGUCCCCAACAAAAGGACAUUAAUACGAAUAAUGUACUGAGUAUGUAAGGCAGAACUGAAACAUAACCAUAAUUCAACAUUAAGUAAAGAAAUAUAAGAAUCAUCCUGAAUAUCUGAAGUUCCACCUUAUCUGCAUAUUUAUCAUACUUACAUAUAUAAUACUUCUCUUUGAGACUAUUUCUAUUAUCCAUAUCGUAAGAUGCAUGACUGCCCAACUGAUCAGUGGUAGCUGCCCGACCGGCCAUCGCACGGCGGUAAAUGCAUGACUGCCCAACCGGUGGUAACUGUCCGACCGGUCGUAGCACGGUGGUAAAUGUAUAACUGCCCAACCGGCCGUAGCUCGGUGGUAAAUGCAUGACUGUCUGACCGGCCGUAGCUCGGUGGUAAAUGAAUAUGCAUGAUUGCCCAACCGGUGGUAAAUAAUGAUACAUACUUAGACAUGCUUGAAUAUCCCUUUACCGGAAUGAAUAACAUAGACAUCCUUAACUGCUAAGAGUAGAAACACUUAUGGAAUAAUAUUACGUUUAUGUAUCAUUACAUGAAUCAUGCCAAAAGAAAGAAGAAAUAACCUUAACAUAGUUGAGCAGCAGUUGGAAGCCCUUUAAACAGAAGUUUACUCAACUGAUGACUCGGUGAUAAUCCAAAACUUUAGUUUAAUUUGCUCUUGUGCUUCGUUUCUCAGUCUAAUUGGCGAAUUCCUCGACAACCAUUCUAAACCCAAAUACAUUUUCUUUCGUGACACAAGAUUACUAGCAUAGACCUUUGGUAGGAUACAGUAAAUGACAGCUCCAAUAAUUGCCACGGAUAGAUCCAUGGAUACGGCUAGAUACUGCUGGAUAUUCAGAAUUUGAUCAAGCAAACUGCCGUUCUCAAAGCUUCUAAGCUCUUUGCCUAGUUUUAACCCCUUUCCAUUUCUCUAGCAAUAAGUUCUUUUUUCUAUUGGUUUACCCCCUUGUCUUCUUCCCAUGUGGUGUUCUCAAUUCUAUAUUUUUACUUUCUAACUUACUAAGGUUUUCAAGACAAAUAUGCCUUCAUAUUCACGGUUGAUAAAAUCAAACAAUUCCAAUGAGACUUCUUGAGUUGUCUUCAGGAGUACAACUCAUAUUCUCAAUAAAACGCAAAAGUGGUACAAAAAGAAAAGUAAAGAAAUACUAUGUGGAUAGAAUUUUUGCUGUGUAUAUAGAAAACUAAAGUCUUUUGUGUAUAGUUUUAA
rnacentral:lncRNA from 1 species